CAUGAUGUCAUAUGGUAUGGAGCAUCCCUGUGGUCAGUUUGGGUCAUCUGUCCUGGUUUUGUUCUCUCACAACUCCCUGUGCACUCCCCGCCUGCCUUGAUGGUGAGACAGUACAAGACGCUAAGAAAACUGAAAUGUCCUCAGCUCUUUGCAGCACUGCUCAGCAACAACUAAAACAUCAAUGUUACAUCAACAUCAUUUUUCACCUAAAGCCAAAACAUAGGAUAAUACCGACCACUAUGAAGAAAAUCAACUAAUUCCCAGAUGAAAUAAGGACAUUUUUCAUGGUAAUUCCAGCGAUGAAAAGCAGAACAUCACUACAGUUUACCUACUAUGAUGGAGAAUAUUUUGGAAGCUAUCUGUUUGGUCAAGGAAAAGUGACACAGUAUUCUAAGGAAGCACUGAUGUGUUAUCUACUAAUAGCCUGCUUCUCAGAAAAUAAAACAGGGAGCUGGAAGUGCACAAGGAAAAAUCUCUGCUCUUGUGAGACACCACCUGGAGUACUGCACGCUGUUCUGGGGCCCCCAACACAAGAAGGACGUGGAGCUGCUGGAGCAGGUCCAGAGGAGGGCCAAGAAGAUGAUCGGAGAACUGGAGCACCUCCCCUACAGGGACAAGCUGAGGGAGCUGGAGCUUUUCACCCUGGAGAAGAGAAGGCCUCAGGGGAACCGUAUAGCAGCCUUCCAGUACCUGAAGGGGGCCUACAAGAGAGACCUACAGGUCCAGCAGGAAGUCCAUUUGCUACGCACUUCACAAGGAAGUCCAUGCAACUGAUAUUCCUAUCAGAGUUCAAAACAAUGAAACGUCAAUCAAAAAAUAGAAGAUCUUGGAAGGCAACAGCUGAACUCAAACAACCCUUCUAUUCAAGUCUGGAACACAGCCAGUGUCAGUAUCUUAAAAGUGGAAAAAGAAGAGAUAUGGAUCUAUUCGAGUGCAUUCAGAGGAGGACCACAAAAAUGAUCCAAGGAAUGGAACACCUCCCCUAUGAGGAUGGACUGGAAGAGCUGGGGCUGUUCAGCCUGGAGAGGAGAAGGCUCCAGGGAGACCUGAGAGCGACUUUUCAGUAUAUAAAAGAGGGCUGUGAGAAAGAAGGGGGUGGACUCUUUAGCAGGGUCUGUGGUGACAGGAUGAGGGAAAAUGAUUUCAAACUAGAAGAGAUGAGAUUUAGACUUUAUAUAAAGGAAAAGUUUUUUACAGUAAGGCUAGUGAGAAUACUGGAAUAUGUUGUCCAGAAAGACAGUGAAUGCUCCAUCCCUGGCAACACUCAAGGUCAGGCUGGAUGGGGCUCUGAGCUCUGGAUCGUGCUGAAGGUGACCCUGUUCAUUGACGGGGAGUUGGACUAGAUGACCUUUAAAGGUCCCUUCCAACUCUAAGGAUUGUACGAUUCUGUGAUUCUAUCAAUGUAAAUGGCAAAAAUAACCUCUUCAAAACUUUUUUUUUUUUUUUCAGAAAAGAAAAGGAAAGGAGAGGAAAGGAGAGGAGAGGAGAG
rnacentral:lncRNA from 1 species